GACGAACCGUGCGAACGUUGUUCGGAAUCACUGGGCUUAAAGGGCGCGUAGGCGGGCUGCCGAGUCCGGGGUGAAAGCCCCCCGCUCAACGGGGGAAGGGCCUCGGAUACUGGCGGCCUCGAGGGAGAUAGGGGCGUGCGGAACUGUGGGUGGAGCGGUGAAAUGCGUUGAUAUCCACAGGAACUCCGGUGGCGAAGGCGGCUUCCUGGACCGACACUGACGCUGAGGCGCGAAAGCUAGGGGAGCAAACGGG
rnacentral:rRNA from 1 species